AUGGACCGUUUCCGUAUGGCGGCUUCCCAACCCAACAAACCAACGAUGAAGGAGGAUGGCGAAGAUGAGAUGGCGGGAUGGUGGGAGAAGGCUGCGAAGAAGCUUAGAGAGGAGGAUGCAGCCAAGCUAAAGAAGAAGAAGGAAGAUGAGCUUGAGAAGGAGAGGAAGGCAAAACAGAGAGCGUCAAAUGCGAUGCGCGCUAGGGAGCAAGCGUUGGUGAGGAAAUGUGAGGAGGCACAGAAGAAGCGUCAAAAGGAUUUUGAAGAAAGAACCAUGAAGCUUCGGGCAAUUGCAGCUGAAAAAGAAGAGAGGGACAAUCAGAUAUUCAUGGAGAGGGUGGUUAAGGAGGCUCACCUCAUAAGAAAAAGGGAGGAGGAAGAGGAAGAAGAUAGGAAGUAG
rnacentral:rRNA from 1 species